ACGGACGGUAUAGAGACCGAUUGCGUCCAGAGGCGAAGCAGCGGUACUUGCAGAAAAUUGCGUGCAUUGGAAAUGUGGACCCGUAUGAAACACUGCCGUGGAGUAGAAACCCUGAAGAGCAACCGCUAUAGCCUGACAUAUUUUUGUACCUUAUCUGUGGAGUCAGCGCGUACAAGUUGUCAUUCAAACAAAGGUGCUGCACUCUCAAAGACUGAAUGAACCAGCAUUGCAGCCAUGGGUCACUGUGAGCAUCACAGGGAAGGUUGAAGCCGCCCACUGCACCUGUAUGGCCGGAGUUGUGGAGACCUGCACCCGUGUCGCUGCUCUUCUGUUUAAUGUAGAAGCAA